UCUUUGGUAGCUCAGACUGUAAAGAAUCUGCCUGCAAUGCAGGAGACCCAGGUUCAAUCCCUGGGUCAGGAA
rnacentral:tRNA from 1 species